GCUACAGGCUUAACACAUGCAAGUCGAGGGGCAGCAUUUCAGUUUGCUUGCAAACUGGAGAUGGCGACCGGCGCACGGGUGAGUAACACGUAUCCAACCUGCCGAUAACUCGGGGAUAGCCUUUCGAAAGAAAGAUUAAUACCCGAUGGUAUAAUUAGACCGCAUGGUCUUGUUAUUAAAGAAUUUCGGUUAUCGAUGGGGAUGCGUUCCAUUAGGCAGUUGGUGAGGUAACGGCUCACCAAACCUUCGAUGGAUAGGGGUUCUGAGAGGAAGGUCCGCCACAUUGGAACUGAGACACGGUCCAAACUCUUACGGGGAGGCAGCAGUGAGGAAUAUUGGUCAAUAGGGCGCAGGCUUGAACCAGCCAAGUAGCGUGAAGGAUGACUGCCCUAUGGGUUGUAAACUUCUUUUAUAUGGGAAUAAAGUUUUCCACGUGUGGAAUUUUGUAUGUACCAUAUGAAUAAGGAUCGGCUAACUC
rnacentral:rRNA from 1 species